UGGCGCAAUGGAUAACGCGUCUGCCUACGGAGCAGAAGAUUGUAGGUUCGAUCCCUAC
rnacentral:tRNA from 1 species